AUAAAUUCUGUGAAGAGAAAAGUAAGUCUUAUAUUUGUUCUACAGAGAGUUGGUAUUUUGCUGCAAACCAAUGUUCAAUGUAUUACUGAAAAUCAUCUCGGAGAAGCAGUACUGAACUUUUUAGUAAGUAUUGCCGGAGUCUUUCCCGUUAAAAGAAAAUCGUAUUGUUUGAUAUGUAACUAAGUGCUAUAAGGGAUUUUUAUAAUCUUUUUAUAGAAUUAGGGUGGUAACGCGGUUAAUUCCGUCCCUUGU
rnacentral:ncRNA from 1 species